CCUCGUGGAUCUGUUCCGGACAGAUGAAAUGGACGUGGGUGUCCACGCCGCCCGCGGUGAGGAUCCGCCCGUUGCCCGAGAUGACCUCGGUGCUCGGACCGACCACGAAGUUCGUCGGCUGCACCGGCAGCUCGUCGCUCGGGGACGUACGCGUCGGCCUCUCGAACUCGUCGUCCGGGAUCGGGUCCAUCGUCUCGGGGUUGUACGCCUUGCCGAUGGCGACGAUCUCACCGUCGCGGAGCCCGACGUCGGCCUUGACCACACCCCACCAGUCAAGGAUCAGCGCACCGGUGAUGACCGUGUCCACGGGCUUGCGGCCUGCGGCAUCCCCGUCUCUGG
rnacentral:sRNA from 1 species